AAAGCAAACACAACAUUUAGUUGGGUGCGUCAUUUUUAAUCUUUCUGAAUUUGUGAAGCAAAGCAAACACAUCAUUCAGUUGGGUGCAUCUUCUUUAAUCUUUCUGAAUUUGUGAAGCAAAGCAAACACAUCAUUUAGUUGGGCGCAUCAUUUUUAAUCUUUUUGAAUUUGUGAAGAUGAUGACAUAAAAACGUUUCGCUAGAUAUGUCUUUGGAAAUUGCGCCUACUUAGAGUGAAAAGCUCACAUUUUCACGUGAUAGUACACAUGAUUUAUUUCUGGUCUAUAAUUGUUAAACUUGCAGUAAGAUACUGUCAAGU